GACGAACGCUGGCGGCGUGCUUAACACAUGCAAGUCGAGCGGUAAGGCCCUUUCGGGGGUACACGAGCGGCGAACGGGUGAGUAACACGUGGGUGACCUGCCCUCAGCUCUGGGAUAAGCCUGGGAAACCGGGUCUAAUACUGGAUAUGACUCCAUGACGCAUGUUGUGGGGUGGAAAGCCUUGUGCGGCUGAGGAUGGGCCCGCGGCCUAUCAGCUUGUUGGUGGGGUGANGGCCUACCAAGGCGACGACGGGUAGCCGGCCUGAGAGGGCGACCGGCCACACUGGGACUGAGACACGGCCCAGACUCCUACGGGAGGCAGCAGUGGGAAUCUUGCGCAAUGGGCGAAAGCCUGACGCAGCGACGCCGCGUGAGGGAU
rnacentral:rRNA from 1 species